rnacentral:rRNA from 1 species
UGGGGAAUAUUGCACAAUGGAGGGAACUCUGAUGCAGCGACGCCGCGUGAACGAAGAAGGCUUUCGAGUCGUAAAGUUCUUUUAUAUGGGAAGAUAAUGACGGUACCAUAAGAAAAAGCCCCGGCUAACUACGUGCCAGCAGCCGCGGUAAUACGUAGGGGGCUAGCGUUGUCCGGAAUCACUGGGCGUAAAGGGUUCGCAGGCGGAAAUGCAAGUCAGGUGUAAAAGGCAGUAGCUUAACUACUGUAAGCAUUUGAAACUGCAUAUCUUGAGAAGAGUAGACGUAAGUGGUAUUUUUAGUGUAGCGGUGAAAUGCGUAGAUAUUAAAAAGAAUACCGGUGGCGAAGGCGACUUACUGGGCUCAUUCUGACGCUGAGGAACGAAAGCGUGGGUAGCAAACAGG